rnacentral:rRNA from 1 species
UGAUGAUGCCAGGCAAAUCCGGCAUCAGAGCUGAAACCUGAAAGUACGGGGUCCCCUUCGGGGGAACCUGAGAGCGAGGGUAAUCAUACUCCCGAGAAAAUGGGCUAAACUCAUGUUGGCGGUACCCGUACCGCAAACCGACACAGGUAGUUGGGUAGAACAUACUAAGGCGUUGAGAGAUUCAUGGCUAAGGAACUAGGCAAACUGACCCCGUAACUUCGGGAUAAGGGGUCCUCACCUCCGGGUGAGGCGCAGAGAAUAGGUCCAGGCAACUGUUUAACAAAAACACAGGGCUGUGCGAACUCGAAAGAUGAAGUAUACAGCCUGACACCUGCCCGGUGCCGGAAGGUUAAGAGGAGAUGUCACCGCAAGGGAAGCAUUGAAUUGAAGCCCCGGUAAACGGUGGCCGUAACUAUAACGGUCCUAAGGUAGCGAAAUUCCUUGUCGGGUAAGUUCCGACCUGCACGAAUGGUGUAAUGAUCCGGACGCUGUCUCGGCCAUGAGCUCAGUGAAAUUGUAGUAUCGGUGAAGAUGCCGAUUACCCGCGAUGGGACGAAAAGACCCCGUGAACCUUUACUACAGCUUAGCAUUGACCUUGGUCAUCCGAUGUGUAGGAUAGGCCGGAGGCUUCGAAGCGGCGUCGCCAGGCGUUGUGGAGCCAUCCUUGAAAUACGGCCCUUUGGCUGUCUGAGGUCUAACGCGGAUAGUCGCGGACACUGCUUGGUGGGUAGUUUGACUGGGGUGGUCGCCCCCAAAAGCGUAACGGAGGCUUCCAAAGGUGCCCUCGGGCCGUUUGGUAAGCGGCCUUCAAGAGUGCAAUGGCAAAAGGGCGCUUGACUGGGAGGGAGACAUCCCGAGCAGGCAGGAAACUGGGGCAUAGUGAUCCGGCGGAUGUGUAUGGAAACUCCGUCGCUCAAAGGAUAAAAGGUACUCCGGGGAUAACAGGCUGAUCCCCCCCAAGAGCUCAUAUCGACGGGGUGGUUUGGCACCUCGAUGUCGGCUCGUCACAUCCUGGGGCUGGAGAAGGUCCCAAGGGUUGGGCUGUUCGCCCAUUAAAGUGGCACGCGAGCUGGGUUCAGAACGUCGUGAGACAGUUCGGUCUCUAUCUAUCGUGGGCGCAGGAGUUUUGAGUGGUGCUGUCACUAGUACGAGAGGACCGUGACGGACAGACCUCCGGUGUACCGGUUGUGCCGCCAGGCGCACCGCCGGGUAUCCGCGUCUGGAUCGGAUAAGCGCUGAAAGCAUCUAAGUGCGAAGCUUUCCACGAGAUUAGAACUCCAUUGAGGGUCGUCGCAGACGACGACGUUGAUAGGGCGCAGGUGUAAAGACGGCGACGUCAAAGCCGAGCGCUACUAAUUGCCCU